rnacentral:rRNA from 1 species
UACAGAGGGGGCGAGCGUUGUUCGGAAUUACUGGGCGUAAAGGGCGCGUAGGCGGCCCGCUACGUCGAACGUGAAAUCCCCAGGCUCAACCUGGGAACUGCGUCCGAUACUGGCAGGCUUGAAUCCGGGAGAGGGAUGUGGAAUUCCAGGUGUAGCGGUGAAAUGCGCAGAUAUCAGGAGGAACACCGGUGGCGAAGGCGCUCUGCUAGGCCGCAACUGACACUGAGGGACGAAAGCUAGGGGAGCGAAUGGG